CAUCAAUCUGCGUCGGUCCUCCGCGCUUCAAUACAUGGUAUGCACGAUACCAAACUCUGUCUCCCUCUUCGUCAAACUCUUUGUCUCCCUCUUUUCCCCCUUACUAGUUCUCCUUCAAUGGCUUCUGUCAAAUUCUUUCUUCUGUCUUGCUCCUUUUUCUAUUUUCUUUACCAAGUUCAUGCUCAGACCUCCUUCCUGCCAGAUUCUGUACUUCUUCCUGUUACCAAAGAUAUCUCAACCCUCCAAUACAUUACCCAAAUCGAUUAUGGCACCUCACAAUUACCCACCAAGCUUGUAGUUGAUCUCGGCAGUCCCUUUCUCUUGGUUGAUUGUGUCUCAGGCCACGUUUCAUUUAAACGUAUAAUUCCCAGUUGUUCAAUCCAGUGCUCAAUGGCAAAAGCCUUUCAUCUUGGAAAUAAUAGUUGCUUUUCUGGUACUUCUAGGCCUGGAAAUCAUCCCUCAACUUGUGAUAUUUUCACAGAAAACGGUAUCACACGGGUGAUAUCAAGAGGGGAGCUUGCAGAAGAUAUUGUAGCCGUACAAGCCGUAGAAGAUGGUAAAAUCAUAAAAGUUGAUCACUUUCUCUUCGUUUGUGGACCUACUUUUCUUUUAAAUGGCUUAGCCAGAGGUGCCCAGGGGGUGUUAGGUCUAGGAAGGAGUCCAGUUUCAUUGCCAUCACAGCUUGCUGCAGCGUUUGAUUUCCACAAGAAAUUUGCUACCUGCUUGUCUUCCUCUAAUGGCUUUAUAUUAUUUAGAAAUAUGGGUAGUGAUUCAAUUUUUAGCUCAGAAAUUUCAAGGUCACUAACCUACACACCUCUAGUCUCCAACCCAGGUGGUAAUCCUCAAGAAUAUUUCAUCAACGUGAGGUCCAUCAAAAUUAACGGCAAGCGAUUGGCUCUAGGCCAAGAAGGCAUUAAAGGAACAAAAAUAAGCACAACUGUGCCUUACACCACUCUGGAGAGCUCAAUCUAUGGCACAUUUGUGAAAGCUUACAUAAAGGCUGCAAAUGGCAUGAAUAUGACAAGGGUUGCUCCUUUGGCCCCUUUCGGCCUUUGCUUUAGUUCAAAAGGUAUUGGUGUCACAGAAUUGGGUGCAAAGGUUCCUGCAAUUGAGCUAGUGCUGCAGAGUGAGAUGGUAAAGUGGAGGAUACAUGGGAGGAAUUCUAUGGUGGUUGUGAGUGAAGAGAUUAUGUGUUUGGGGUUGUUGGAUGGUGGGCUGGACUCAAAAACCUCAAUUGUAAUAGGAGGGUUUCAAUUAGAGGAUACCUUUUUAGAUUUUGAUUUGGCAACUUUAAUGUUAGGAUUCAGUUUGCCUCUUCGGAUGAGACAAACUUCUUGUUCUGACUUGCUGCUGGAAUCCGCCACGCUUAAGGACUCUCUGUGAACGGGUGAUGCCCUUUUUUUUUUACCCUUCUCUUUUCUUUUCUUUUUUCCAUUUCCAAAGUAAAAUUGGAAAAGUUAUUGUACCCAAGGAUUUUAGUUUUUAUCCUUCCUGAGUGUAUGAAGCUAAUCCCAAUCCCAUAACAAAUUUAGCCAAGUUUGUUUAUUGCGAAUUUACCUAUAAUAUCUAGCGAAAAGUUGCAAUUUCGCGGAGGG
rnacentral:misc_RNA from 1 species